rnacentral:lncRNA from 1 species
ACAUAAAUUACAACUAAAGCUUUGCAUUGUCAGAGAUACAAGUUAAAUCCAAUGAUUUAUACGCCAUAGUAUAUCCAUUAAAAUUGUACGAGAAGAAAAAAAAAAGAUAAUCAAAUCACUUGUUUAUUUGGCCUAUCAGCUCCAUUCCGUCGAGUUUAGUUACAUUCCACGCCGAAGAUAUUGCACAAACUUUAUUUAGUUUUAAC